CCUUCGAUAGCUCAGCUGGAAGUGCGUGAGACUGUAAUGGGUUAUCACGUGACAUCUCAAGGUCGCUGGUUCGACCCCGGCUCGAAGGA